rnacentral:rRNA from 1 species
GAUGAACGCUAGCGGGAGGCCUAACGCAUGCAAGCCGAGCGGUAUUGUUUCUUCGGAAAUGAGAGAGCGGCGUACGGGUGCGUAACACGUGUGCAACCCGCCUUUAUCUGGGGGAUAGCCUUUCGAAAGGAAGAUUAAUACUCCAUAAUAUAUUGAACGGCAUCGUUUAAUAUUGAAAGCUCCGGCGGAUAGAGAUGGGCACGCGCAAGAUUAGUUAGUUGGUGAGGUAACGGCUCACCAAGGCGAUGAUCUGUAGGGGGCCUGAGAGGGUGAUCCCCCACACUGGUACUGGGACACGGACCAGACUCCGACGGGAGGCAGCAGUGAGGAAUAUUGGACAAUGGGUGCAAGCCUGAUCCAGACAUCCCGCGCGAAGGACGACUGCCCUAUGGGUUGUAACUUCUUGUGUAUUGGGAUAAACCUACCCUCGUGAGGGUAGCUGAAGGUACUAUACGAAUAAGCACCGGCUAACUCCGUGCCAGCCGCCGCCGUAACAC